rnacentral:rRNA from 1 species
GACGAACGCUGGCGGCGUGCUUAACACAUGCAAGUCGAGCGGUAAGGCCCUUUCGGGGGUACGACGAGCGGCGAACGGGUGAGUAACACGUGGGUGACCUGCCCUCAGCUCUGGGAUAAGCCUGGGAAACCGGGUCUAAUACCGGAUAUGACUCCAUGACGCAUGUUGUGGGGUGGAAAGCCUUGUGCGGCUGAGGAUGGGCCCGCGGCCUAUCAGCUUGUUGGUGGGGGAUGGCCUACCAAGGCGACGACGGGUAGCCGGCCUGAGAGGGCGACCGGCCACACUGGGACUGAGACACGGCCCAGACUCCUACGGGAGGGCAGCAGUGGGGAAUCUUGCGCAAUGGGCGAAAGCCUGACGCAGCGACGCCGCGUGAGGGAUGACGGCCUGGUGUAAC